AUUGAACGCUGGCGGCGUGCUUAACACAUGCAAGUCGAUCGGUAACGCGGGGGCAACCCUGGCGACGAGAGGCGGACGGGUGAGGAACGCUUGGGAAUCUGCCCUUCAGCGGGGGACAACCCGGGGAAACCCGGGCUAAUACCGCAUACGCUCCACGGAGGAAAGCCGGGGACCGCAAGGCCUGGCACUGAAGGAUGAGCCCAAGUCGGAUUAGCUAGUUGGCGGGGUAACGGCCCACCAAGGCGACGAUCCGUAGCUGGUCUGAGAGGACGAUCAGCCACACUGGGACUGAGACACGGCCCAGACUCCUACGGGAGGCAGCAGUGGGGAAUAUUGGACAAUGGGGGAAACCCUGAUCCAGCGACGCCGCGUGGGUGAAGAAGGCCUGCGGGUUGUAAAGCACUUUCAAUUGGAAGGAAAACCUCAAAGCUAAUACCUUCGAGUUUGACAUUACCUUUAGAAGAAGCACCGGCUAACUCCGUGCCAGCCGCCGCCGUAAGAC
rnacentral:rRNA from 1 species